rnacentral:rRNA from 1 species
AUUGAACGCUGGCGGCAGGCCUAACACAUGCAAGUCGAGCGGAUGAAGGGAGCUUGCUCCUGGAUUCAGCGGCGGACGGGUGAGUAAUGCCUAGGAAUCUGCCUGGUAGUGGGGGAUAACGUCCGGAAACGGGCGCUAAUACCGCAUACGUCCUGAGGGAGAAAGUGGGGGAUCUUCGGACCUCACGCUAUCAGAUGAGCCUAGGUCGGAUUAGCUAGUUGGUGGGGUAAAGGCCUACCAAGGCGACGAUCCGUAACUGGUCUGAGAGGAUGAUCAGUCACACUGGAACUGAGAAACGGUCCAGACUCCUACGGGAGGCAGCAGUGGGGAAUAUUUGGCAAUGGGCGAAAGCCUGAUGCAGCCAUGCCGCGUGUGUGAAGAAGGUCUUCGGAUUGUAAAACACUUUUAGUUGGGAAGAAAGGAAGUAAAGUUAAAUCUUGACGUUUUGACGGUACCUAAAGAAAAAGCCACGGCUAACUUCGUG